ensembl:processed_transcript A530058N18Rik RIKEN cDNA A530058N18 gene
ACUGGAGCGGGCACCUGGCGCUCCCGCGCUGCGGCGCGCAGAGCUAGCUGCGGGGCUGGGGAAUCCGCGGCCACCGCCUCUAAUCCGCCCUUAAGUAGUCUCCGCCUGCGUCACGCCAGGUCGGCGGAGGGGAGCAGAGCGCGGCGUGCCGCUGUCGCCGAGCGUCGGAGCCCGAGGGGCCGCGGCCGCGCGCCGCGGGGGGAGGAGACGGUCUGGAGUCCCCCCGCUGCGCCGGAGAUGGGGAGACGGAGAACUGCAGCGCCCCUUGGGGCUUCUGAGGCGCCCAGGUAACCUCACCUGGCCGCCAGUCUCCCGCAGGAGGAACAGACACAUUGGUUCUACACCGAACCUAUUAACAGCUCAACUUCAAAUAUUUGGCAGAGGUGGGAUUGCAGUUCACUAAGGUUAUAUGAGCCAGCUUGGUUACGCAAAUGUGAAAAUGCACAUUUUCCAAUCCUGGAGUGGCUGCUCCCUGAAGAGAGUCCUGGUCCUAGGAAUCUGGGAUUCUACCUGAAGUCCCAAAGAUGAACAAAUGGUAGAGAGGCACCUGACUGAGCCUGCUUCCUAACCGACUUCUCAGAACUGCCUGCCGCUGGGCUGCCUAACAGAAGCUCAAGUUCUGGGAUUCCACCCUUGAAGAGAAAUGAAUCUGCACUUAACUUAGUGAGCCCUGUAGGUCAGGACAUGUAGUUCUUGCUACCCUGAAGCUCACUAUGUACGACAGACUGGCCCCAACACACUGAGAUCUGCGUGGUUCUGUCUCCCCAGUGCUGAGAUCAAAGGUCGAGUUUAGGUCAAAGUUGUGGGCCCAGCCGAGAUGGGAGCAUCCCAGCCUUCCCAGGCACUCCCCCUCACUGUGAUGGACACGAGUGAAGGAACAUAGGAAGGAAGACACUGGAACCUUUUGCUCUGCCAGUACAGACGUUGUUCCCUGUAUUCUCCCUCUCAUCUGGACUGCUUGGCUAUCUCAUACCUAGCUGCAGAGCCUAAUUGUUUCCUAUUGUUAGUGUUCCUGACCUUACAUCAACCUUCACACUCCUUUCUAACUCUAUGUCUGUUUUCAUCAUAGCACAUAUAAUUUGUGGUUGAUCUUCUUGUGUUGUUUUAGGUUGACUUAGUGGCCCCUUGUUAUCUACUAAUGAACUUGUGAUAAAAUAUGCCGAGUACACAAACUAAAAUUAUCUAUGAUUUGAGAAAAAAAGAAUCUAGCUACCAUUUAUAUUAUUGUAAAUACACAAAUAAAAUAAUGUAUGGGGUAUCUGGCUUAAAAUGCAUACCAUCAUGACUUUUGUCAUAUCACAAAGUAAGCAAAGUCUUUCAUCUUAGAGAGAAAUGAAAUUAUAUAUUUGAUCUUCUUGUUAUAUUUUCUUCAACUAAAAGCUGUCCAACUGC